rnacentral:rRNA from 1 species
GUGCCAGCCGCCGCGGUAAUACGUAGGGUGCAAGCGUUAAUCGGAAUUACUGGGCGUAAAGCGUGCGCAGGCGGUUAUGUAAGACAGGUGUGAAAUCCCCGGGCUUAACCUGGGAACUGCGUCUGAUACUGGGAGGCUUGAGUAUGGGAGAGGGAUGUAGAAUUCCAGGUGUAGCGGUGAAAUGCGUAGAUAUUGGGAAGAACACCGGUGGCGAAGGCGGCCAUCUGGCCCAUUUUUGACGCUGAGGCGCGAAAGCGUGGGGAGCAAACAGGAUUAGAUACCCUGGUAGUCCACGCUGUAAACGAUGAGUGCUAGACGUCGGGGAGCUUGCUCUUCGGUGUCGCCGCUAACGCAUUAAGCACUCCGCCUGGGGAGUACGGUCGCAAGAUUAAAACUCAAAGGAAUUGACGG